GAUGAACGCUGGCGGCGUGCCUAAUACAUGCAAGUCGAGCGAACGGACGAGAAGCUUGCUUCUCUGAUGUUAGCGGCGGACGGGUGAGUAACACGUGGAUAACCUACCUAUAAGACUGGGAUAACUUCGGGAAACCGGAGCUAAUACCGGAUAAUAUUUUGAACCGCAUGGUUCAAAAGUGAAAGACGGUCUUGCUGUCACUUAUAGAUGGAUCCGCGCUGCAUUAGCUAGUUGGUAAGGUAACGGCUUACCAAGGCAACGAUGCAUAGCCGACCUGAGAGGGUGAUCGGCCACACUGGAACUGAGACACGGUCCAGACUCCUACGGGAGGCAGCAGUAGGGAAUCUUCCGCAAUGGGCGAAAGCCUGACGGAGCAACGCCGCGUGAGUGAUGAAGGUCUUCGGAUCGUAAAACUCUGUUAGUAGGGAAGAACAUAUGUGUAAGUAACUGUGCACAUCUUGACGGUACCUAAUCAGAAAGCAACGGCUAACUACGUG
rnacentral:rRNA from 1 species